UGCAGUCGAGCGGAUGAGGGAGCUUGCUCUCUGAUUCCCGGCGGACGGGUGAGUAAUGCCUAGGAAUCUGCCUGGUAGUGGGGGACAACGUUUCGAAAGGAACGCUGAUACCGCAUACGUCCUACGGGAGAAAGCAGGGGACCUUCGGGCCUUGCGCUAUCAGAUGAGCCUAGGUCGGAUUAGCUAGUUGGUGAGGUAAGGGCUCACCAAGGCGACGAUCCGUAACUGGUCUGAGAGGAUGAUCAGUCACACUGGAACUGAGACGCGGUCCACACUCCUACGGGAGG
rnacentral:rRNA from 1 species